ensembl:lncRNA
CUCAAAACUUUCUGCGCGGAACUGCAGCUAGCGUCUGUCCGGCACAAGCAGCGUGAGAGCUCCAUGCUCUGAUUGCUCCUUACCUCUCCUGGCCGCAGAAGGAUUUACUCUUUGCGCUUCAAACAUGCCAGUCACCGUACAAGGAAAACAACCAAACUUCAUACAGAAAUUUGGACAUACAACUCUACAAGAAGGAGAAGAUUUAAUCCUGCAUUGCACUAUACAUGGAAUACCCAGACCAAAUGUUGUUUGGACUAAAGAUGAUAUCAGACUGGUAGCUGGAAACAUCAGUACUGAAAAAUUAGGUGACUCCUAUUACCUUUUAAAAAGAAAUGUAGUCCUUGCUGAUACUGGGAAAUAUAUUUGUGUUGCCAGCAAUGAAGUUGGGGAAGCAUACUGUUCAGCUUUCAUAAAAGUUACAGAGAAAAAUGAAAAACCAGAAAUUCCCACUGAAACUGAGAUAAAAUCAAAACAGGAACAAGGAUAUUUUUUAGAAAAAAUGACUGUCCCUACAACUGAAGUGGGACAAGAUCAGGAUGCAUGUUGUAUGAAAGGUCAAAGGCCAAUGGCUAACCAUCUGUCAGUGAGGUUAAAACAUAAACACUGGCUGCAGAGUGCCUAUUUUUCACAUGUGGAGUCGCAAGAAGUUAACAUCAUUUUGAAGCAUGAUCCCAUACUUCUCUUGGCUACUCCAGAGGAUAUUAUAGGGGAAAUCUAAUUAAGAAGAUGGGUUGAACUUCAGGAUGCCCAAUUUAUGAAUGGACUAAUUGCUUGCUGUGAAUCUUCAUGGAGAUUUGACAUUGUUAGGGGGGGAAGGAACUCUCUGAGUAUUGCUUAAUUAAUACCUAAGAACAUGCUAGUAAAUAGAAUUUGUAAUUUGUUUCUCUAUAUUUCAUUAAUAAAGUCACGUGCAUAGCAGAAUCUACUUGAUGU